GGAAAGCAGCUCAAAUGCGAUAGUCUAGCAGCUACGAGAUCAGGAAGAACACAGUGCUCGCAUCUGAAAAAUAACCAGGAGCAAGGAUGAUGUUUUCACUGUGUUACGCAGCCUUGAUCAUGCACAUUGUGUCUCGCCAAGCCAUAGCCAACCGCGCUUUUCUUCGCACGCCGCCUCAUAAACAUCGGUCACCACUUGAAAGAAGACCGCUUCUGGGCGGCAACGACAGCGUUGAAGAAAAUGAAACGUCCAAUAAGUUUGUCGACGACAGAAGGCCUUCCAAUCGUACAAGGAUAUGCAAGAUGUGGUACUGUUGCUUCAAUCGCAGGGACGGAGAAGUAUGCGAGUAUCAAAAGCUGCACGAACGAGACUGCAAUAGUAGUGGCAACCAUAAAAUCUUAAAACGAUGCCGCUGUCUUUUGAAAAAAGUGAUCUGUUCCAUUCGCAGCAAGAAAUCUAUGAAGCUUCGUAAACCUAUACUUACUACAGCAUAACUAGCCGACUAACUCUUUCUUUCACGGAACGUAAAAACCCAACAAUGAUUAUAUUAUUAACUUGUUCUCUCAACGACAGAGAAUUGUUUCUUUCAACGUGGCAGUUUUCAUUCUGCUUUGGGAAUGCCUUAUAUGAUUGCUUCUACAUUUCCGGUGGAACACCGUAAACCAUGUGAGAUGCUUAUCAUCGAUCAACCACUGGGGAAUGCCUCCUCAACUACAAAAGACAAUUCAAACGGCAGAGUGAUCGUAUUUAUUGUUUCUCUUAUUGAGGCAAUAUCCUCACAUAUCCCACGCCAUGAUGACCUCGACCGAGUAGCCGGCAUGUUGUACAAAGCCACAUGAAAACCCACGCGCCGCCUGGCUUGAGGCGUGCGAGCUGCGCGUUUCUUUGUCUUUGCGGCGUUCGUAUUAUUAAAGAAAAUAAAUUUUUAAAACUGGUGU